rnacentral:pre_miRNA from 14 species
UUCUGCUUAAAGCCUUGAAAGACCCCCAGAGUGGGGAGACCCUCACUCAAGUCUCGGGAUGAUGCGACCCCCCCAAGAACACACACAAGACU